rnacentral:rRNA from 1 species
UGACUAGAGUGGCGAACUGGUGAGUAACACGUAAGAAACCUGCCCUUUAGUGGGGGAUAACAUUUGGAAACAGAUGCUAAUACCGCGUAACAACAAAUCACACAUGUGAUCUGUUUGAAAGGUCCUUUUGGAUCGCUAGAGGAUGGUCUUGCGGCGUAUUAGCUUGUUGGUAGGGUAGAAGCCUACCAAGGCAAUGAUGCGUAGCCGAGUUGAGAGACUGGCCGGCCACAUUGGGACUGAGACACUGCCCAAACUCCUACGGGAGGCUGCAGUAGGGAAUUUUCCGCAAUGCACGAAAGUGUGACGGAGCGACGCCGCGUGUGUGAUGAAGGCUUUCGGGUCGUAAAGCACUGUUGUAAGGGAAGAAUAACUGAAUUCAGAGAAAGUUUUCAGCUUGACGGUACCUUACCAGAAAGGGAUGGCUAAAUACGUGCCAGCAGCCGCGGUAAUACGUAUGUCCCGAGCGUUAUCCGGAUUUAUUGGGCGUAAAGCGAGCGCAGACGGUUUAUUAAGUCUGAUGUGAAAUCCCGAGGCCCAACCUCGGAACUGCAUUGGAAACUGAUUUACUUGAGUGCGAUAGAGGCAAGUGGAACUCCAUGUGUAGCGGUGAAUG